UGCCAGCCGCCGCGGUAAUACAGAGGUCCCAAGCGUUGUUCGGAUUCACUGGGCGUAAAGGGUGCGUAGGUGGCAGGGUAAGUCAGAUGUGAAAUCUCCGGGCCCAACUCGGAAAAGUCAUUUGAAACUAUCCAGCUAGAGGAUUGGAGAGGAGAGUGGAAUUCUCGGUGUAGCAGUGAAAUGCGUAGAUAUCGAGAGGAACACCAGUGGCGAAGGCGGCCUUCUGGGCCGUUCCUGACGCUAAGACGCGAAAGCAUGGGUAGCGAACGGGAUUAGAUA
rnacentral:rRNA from 1 species